GGGGUCAUAGCUCAGUUGGUAGAGUAUUUGAAUGGCAUUCAAAAGGUUAGGGGUUCGAUUCCCCUUGACUCCACCA
rnacentral:tRNA from 12 species